rnacentral:tRNA from 1 species
AGCAAUUUGGCGCAGUGGAAGCGCGGUAUGUCUACCAUUAUCUGCACAUAAAAAUCCUUACUAACAGACGUAGCCGGGCUCAUAACCCGGAGGUCGCACGAUCGAAACGUGCAAUUGCUA